UGGAGUUACAAACAGUAAUUGCCACGUGGGU
rnacentral:piRNA from 1 species